AAUUAUUAUAUUAGACUAAAUACUGAUCUACUUCGUCAUCCUCAGUCCUGGUGUUAUUGUCAGGUUCUAUUCAAAAGAAAAUGUGAGAGGGUUUGGACCAGAUUCUCAGAACUUGCUUUCUUUUCUGGGUAUAUGUACCUUUUGACGUAUAUCUCUACACUGUAAAACAACAACAACCUCCAAAUGAAGGAGAUCCAGUGCAUUCGGAAAGUAUUCAGACCCCUUCUUCACGUUUACAGCCCUUACAUGGAUUAAAUCACUUUUUUCCCCCCCUUCUCUCUAUUUCUACCAGUGGUGUGCCUGUCCUAGACUGCAGUGAGUCAGUAUUUUGCCUUUACCACGUAACCAGCUGAAAUGAAAGCACUUACUCAGCAGCUACACGAGAAGGAUCGGAAAAGGAAAGCACUUACUCAGCAGCUACACGAGAAGGAUUGGAAAAGGAAAGCACUUAACUCAGCAGCUACACGAGAAGGAUUGGAAAAGGAAAGCAUGGGACUGAAGAGUAAGAGCGUACCUGAGGCUCUGAACUGUGAAGUGGGUGUUGGCAGGAGUCCCUGAACAGGGCAGCCAGGUCAGAGUGUCCUCAAGGUUGAAGGAGACAAUGGACACGUUGCUAAAGACUGGGGGCAGGCACACCACUGAAACAUAUCGACAUAUAGAGAGAGAGGGACGAGACACAGACAAAACAAUAUAACAUGAUAAGACAGUCACACAGAACAGGACAGCCAGAGAGACAGGUAUUAAACAGGACACCAGCCAGAGAGACAGGUAUUAAACAGGACACCAGCCAGAGAGACAGGUAUUAAACAGGACACCAGCCAGAGAGAUAGGUAUUAAACAGGACACCAGCCAGAGAGACAGGUAUUAAACAGGACACCAGCCAGAGAGACAGGUAUUAAACAGGACACCAGCCAGAGAGACAGGUAUUAAACAGGACACCAGCCAGAGAGACAGGUAUUAAACAGGACACCAGCCAGAGAGACAGGUAUUAAACAGGACACCAGCCAGAGAGACAGGUAUUAAACAGGACACCAGCCAGAGAGACGGGUAUUAAACAGGACAGCCAGAGAGACAGGUAUUAAACAGGACACCAGCCAGAGAGACAGGUAUUAAACAGGACACCAGCCAGAGAGACAGGUAUUAAACAGGACAGCCAGAGAGACAGGUAUUAAACAGGACAGCCAGAGAGACAGGUAUUAAACAGGACACCAGCCAGAGAGACAGGUAUUAAACAGGACAGCCAGAGAGACAGGUAUUAAACAGGACAGCCAGAGAGACAGGUAUUAAACAGGACACCAGCCAGAGAGACAGGUAUUAAACAGGACAGCCAGAGAGACAGGUAUUAAACAGGACAGCCAGAGAGAGAUAUUACAGUAGAGCAAAAUAUUAGUACCAGAGAUAAACAAAUCAAAACAUGUUCUCUGAAACAUCAUUUUCUUGACAAUGAAGAUAAGAUACUGUAGGUAACGGAAGCUGCUCUUUCCAUGACACACACUGACCAAGUUAAUCCAGAUUAAAGCUAUGAUCCCUUAUUGAUGUCACUUGUUAAAUCCACUUCAAUCAGUGUAGAUGAAGGGGAGGAGAUGGGUUAAAGAAGGAUUUUUAAACCUUGGGACAUACAUUGUGUGUGUGCCAUUCAGAUGGUGAAUGGGCAAGAGAAAAUAUUUAAGUGCUUUUGAACGGGGUAUGGUAGUAGAUGUCAGGCGCACCGGUUUGAGUGUCAAGAACUGCAACGCUGCUGGGCUUUUCACGCUCAAACAGUUUCCUGUGUGUGUCAAGAAUGAUCCACCACCCAAAGGACAUCCAGCCAACUUGACACAACUGUUGGAAGCAUUGGAGUCAACAUGGGCCAGCAUCCCUGUGGAACGCUUUCGACACUAUGUGGAGGCCAUGCCCCGACGAAUUGACUGAUCUGAGGGGUGCAACUCAAUAUUAGGAAGGUGUUCCUAAUGUUUUGUAGACUCAGUGUUUUUCUUUGCUGUCCAUUUUGAUGUAAUAUUUUGA